rnacentral:rRNA from 1 species
CCGCAAGGCGAUGUAUACGGACUGACGCCUGCCCGGUGCUGGAAGGUCAAGAGGAUCCCUCAGCCCCCUUCACGGGGCGAAGGGGUGAGUUCAAGCCCCAGUAAACGGCGGUGGUAACUAUAACCAUCCUAAGGUAGCGAAAUUCCUUGUCGGGUAAGUUCCGACCUGCACGAAUGGCGUAACGACUUCCCCGCUGUCUCCACCACGGGCUCGGCGAAAUUGCACUACGAGUAAAGAUGCUCGUUACGCGCAGAAGGACGGAAAGACCCCGGGACCUUUACUACAGCUUGGUACUGGCGUCCGCCGCGGCCUGUGCAGGAUAGGUGGGAGACCGUGAGGCCGUCGCGUCAGCGGCGGCGGAGUCGUUGUUGAGAUACCACUCUGGCCGUGGCGUGCGCCUGAACCUCGGCCCGUGACCCGGGUCAGGGACAGUGCCUGGUGGGUAGUUUAACUGGGGCGGUUGCCUCCUAAAAGGUAACGGAGGCGCUCAAAGGUCCCCUCAGCCUGGUCGGCAACCAGGUGGCGAGUGCAAGUGCACAAGGGGGCUUGACUGCGAGACCGACGGGUCGGGCAGGUGCGAAAGCAGGAACUAGUGAUCCGGCGAUCCCGCGUGGGCGGGUCGUCGCUCAACGGAUAAAAGGUACCCCGGGGAUAACAGGCUGAUCCUGCCCAAGAGUCCAUAUCGACGGCAUGGUUUGGCACCUCGAUGUCGGCUCGUCGCAUCCUGGGGCUGGAGCAGGUCCCAAGGGUUGGGCUGUUCGCCCAUUAAAGCGGUACGCGAGCUGGGUUUAGAACGUCGUGAGACAGUUCGGUCCCUAUCCUCUGCGCGCGCAGGAGACUUGAGAAGACCUGUCCCCAGUACGAGAGGACCGGGACGGACGAACCUCUAGUGCGCCAGCUGUCCCGCCAGGGGCACCACUGGUUGGCCACGUUCGGACACGGGUAACCGCUGAAAGCAUCUAAGCGGGAAACCACCUUCAAGACCAGGUCUCCGCAACACCCACGGGUGUUGGAAGGCCCCCAGCAGACCACUGGGUAGAUAGGCCAGACGUGCACACCCGGCAACGGGCUCAGCUGACUGGUACUAACAGGCCGACACAAAACACAC